ensembl:lncRNA
CCAACUUGGUGCUCCGCAGCCCUCCUUCUCUUACCCGUGCGCCACGAAGACCCAUGUUCCCUGUCUAAGUGUCCUGAGCAAGACACCUGACCCCUAAUUGCUCCCCGGGCAAAAAUGUGAAAAAGCCACAGGUUUAAAGUGUAAUGUAAGUCGCUUUGGAUAAAAGCGUCUGCUAGAUGACCUGUAAUGUAAUGAGAGGAGUAAAGGGAUAAAAAGAUAGAAAGCUGUCAUGAUAGAGAGAAAAAAAGAAGAAAUGGAGUGAGGGAUGGAGGGAAAUAUUUGUGACAAAAGAUAGAAAAGGAAGAAAGGAAGGAAGGAAGGGAGUGAAAAGGAAGAAAGACAGUAGGGAGGGAAUGAAGGCAUUAAGCGGCGGAGGAAUGGGUGAGGCAGGAGUGAAGGGAGUGUAUGUUUUUGAAGUUUAUAAACCAUCUCCUCUCACCUAAUUCUCCCAUUUAUCUUUUCUCUCAUCUCAAAUAGAAAGGAAUUGACCUUUCAGCUUCCUGAUAUGUAGAGGUGCCAGUCAGAGCAGAACCUUGCAAAGACAGAGUUCAGUCAAUGGAAUCAGAUCAGAGCUCUACCAACCACAGCCUUAAGUCAAUGGACUCCAACUAGAUUCUUAAAGAGUCAGUGUUAGGUCAAUGGACUCCUACUAGAGCCUUAAGAGUCAGAGUUAGGUCAAUGGACUCCUACUAGAGCCUUAACAGUCAGAUUUAGGUCAAUGGACUCCUACUAGAGCUUUAAGAGUCAGAGUUAGGUCAAUAGACUCCUACUAGAGCCUUAAGAGUCAGUGUUAGGUCAAUGAACUCCAACUAGAGCCUUAAGAGUCAGAGUUAGGUCAAUGGAAUCCAACUAGAGCCUUAAGAGUCAGUGUUAGGUCAAUGGACUCCAACUUAAGCCCUAGCGGUCAGUGUUAGGUCAAUGGACUCCUACUAGAGCCUUAAGAGUCAGUGUUAGGUCAAUGGACUCCUACUAGAGUCUUAAGAGUCAGAGUUAGGUCAAUGGACUCCUACUAGAGCCUUAAGAGUCAGUGUUAGGUCAAUGGACUCCUACUAGAGCCUUAAGAGUCAGUGUUAGGUCAAUGGACUCCUACUAGAGCCUUAAGAGUCAGAGUUAGGUCAAUGGACUCCUACUAGAGCCUUAAGAGUCAGUGUUAGGUCAAUGAACUCCAACUAGAGCCUUAAGAGUCAGAGUUAGGUCAAUGGAAUCCAACUAGAGCCUUAAGAGUCAGUGUUAGGUCAAUGGACUCCAACUUUAGCCCUAGCGGUCAGUGUUAGGUCAAUGGACUCCUACUAGAGCCUUAAGAGUCCGUGUUAGGUCAAUGGACUCCUACUAGAGCCUUAAGAGUCAGUGUUAGGUCAAUGGACUCCUACUAGAGUCUUAAGAGUCAGAGUUAGGUCAAUGGACUCCUACUAGAGCCUUAAGAGUCAGUGUUAGGUCAAUGGACUCCUACUAGAGCCUUAAGAGUCAGUGUUAGGUCAAUGGACUCCUACUAGAGCCUUAAGAGUCAGAGUUAGGUCAAUGGACUCCUACUAGAGUCUUAAGAGUCAGUGUUAGGUCAAUGGACUCCUACUAGAGCCUUAAGAGUCAGUGUUAGGUCAAUGGACUCCUACUA